CGACAUUCAAGCUAGAGAAAACUGCAGUCCAGGAAGGGAUCUGCUUGUGGGAGAAUCCUGUAUAUGUUACAGUGAAAUUCGUCAGGGAGCCCAAGACGGGGAACCUGCACGAGAAAAUAUAUCAUUUCAUCGUCGCUAGUGUAAGUAAGAGUUCCACAAUGCCUUUUCUUACCGGGUUGAGAUUUUUGCGGCUCCCUGUGUGAUUUGACUGUUUCUACUGGGACGUUUUGUAGGGAUCGGCCAAGAAAGAUUACCUUGGGGAAUCUUCAAUCGAUUUUGCAGAUUUUGCAGAGGAGAUUGAACCAGUGACCAUCUCUCUGCCACUGAAGUUUGCCAAUUCCGGUGCAGUUUUACAUGUAGGCUCAGUGCAUCUGAAACAAAAGUUUACGAGUUGCUAUCGAUGAUUCACUUCUUAACAUAUUCGUGUUUUCUGGGUUUCUGAAACAGAUAACAAUUCGGAAAGUUCAAGGAGGCAUCGAGCAAAGGUAAGCAGACAGCAUUGAGAAAUGACUGGUUAUGUUCUGUUGUUCUAUUGUAAUUUUACUUUUGUGAUUCAGUAUUCUAUUAGUAAUAUAAUUUUUCACUAUGAUGGAAGUAUUUCUGAUGCAGGGGUAGUAAUGGAGAAGCAACAGUACCUGAGGAUGGAAGGUCGGUUAACCAGUUGAGCAUAGAUGGGCCAAGCAUAGAUGGGAAGAAUUUUGUAGAAGUAAGGUCU
rnacentral:lncRNA from 1 species